AUGGAGAAGUUUCCAAGUGAUUUCUUGAAGAAAUUUGCCGGAAAAAUGGUGGAAUUUCGACGGCAAUAUGUAGAAAACCCGACGCGUCGUGCGCGGGCCGAAAUGGGUCCGGCCGAUCCCCUCCUUUUCCUUCUCCCUUCUUUCCUCCUUUCCCUGAUUCUGAUUGGUCCUUCCCUUCUCUCACUGUUCCGAUUGAUCCAUCUCCUCCUUCCUUGGUUGGGCAGCCAAUCCCCCUUCUUCUUUCUU
rnacentral:lncRNA from 1 species